rnacentral:rRNA from 1 species
UAAUACAUGCAAGUCGAGCGGACAGAUGGGAGCUUGCUCCCUGAUGUUAGCGGCGGACGGGUGAGUAACACGUGGGUAACCUGCCUGUAAGACUGGGAUAACUCCGGGAAACCGGGGCUAAUACCGGUGGUUGUUUGAACCGCAUGGUUCAGACAUAAAAGGUGGCUUCGGCUACCACUUACAGAUGGACCCGCGGCGCAUUAGCUAGUUGGUGAGGUAACGGCUCACCAAGGCGACGAUGCGUAGCCGACCUGGAGGGUGAUCGGCCACACUGGGACUGAGACACGGCCCAGACUCCUACGGGAGGCAGCAGUAGGGAAUCUUCCGCAAUGGACGAAAGUCUGACGGAGCAACGCCGCGUGAGUGAUGAAGGUUUUCGGACGUAAAGCUCUGUUGUUAGGGAAGAACAAGUGCCGUUCAAAUAGGGCGGCACCUUGACGGUACCUAACCAGAAAGCCACGGCUAACUACGUGCCAGCAGCCGCGGUAAUACGUAGGUGGCAAGCGUUUCCGGAAUUAUUGGGCGUAAAGGGCUCGCAGGCGGUUUCUUAAGUCUGAUGUGAAAGCCCCCGGCUCAACCGGGGAGGGUCAUUGGAAACUGGGGAACUUGAGUGCAGAAGAGGAGAGUGGAAUUCCCGUGUAGCGGUGAAAUGCGUAGAGAUGUGGAGGAACACCAGUGGCGAAGGCGACUCUCUGGUCUGUAACUGACGCUGAGGAGCGAAAGCGUGGGGAGCGAACAGGAUUAGAUACCCUGGUAGUCCACCCGUAAACGAUGAGUGCUAAGUGUUAGGGGGUUUCCGCCCCUUAGUGCUGCAGCUAACGCAUUAAGCACUCCGCCUGGGGAGUACGGUCGCAAGACUGAAACUCAAAGGAAUUGACGGGGGCCCGCAAAGCGGUGGAGCAUGUGGUUUAAUUCGAAGCAACGCGAAGAACCUUACCAGGUCUUGACAUCCUCUGACAAUCCUAGAGAUAGGACGUCCCCUUCGGGGGCAGAGUGACAGGUGGUGCAUGGUUGUCUCAGCUCGUGUCGUGAGAUGUUGGGUUAAGUCCCGCAACGAGCGCAACCCUUGAUCUUAGUUGCCAGCAUUCAGUUGGGCACUCUAAGGUGACUGCCGGUGACAAACCGGAGGAAGGUGGGGAUGACUCAAAUCAUCAUGCCCCUUAUGACCUGGGCUACACACGUGCUACAAUGGGCAGAACAAAGGGCAGCGAAACCGCGAGGUUAAGCCAAUCCCACAAAUCUGUUCUCAGUUCGGAUCGCAGUCUGCAACCGACUGCGUGAAGCUGGAAUCGCUAGU